AGGAUGAACGCUAGCGACAGGCCUAACACAUGCAAGUCGAGGGGCAGCACAGGAGCAAUCUGAGGUGGCGACCGGCGCACGGGUGAGUAACACGUAUGCAACCUGCCUGUAAGCGGGGAAUAACCCGUUGAAAGACGGACUAAUACCGCAUAAUACUAAAUUACUGCAUGGUAAUUUAUUUAAACAUUUAUGGCUUACAGAUGGGCAUGCGCAUGAUUAGCUAGUUGGAGAGGUAACGGCUCCCCAAGGCAACGAUCAUUAGGGGUUCUGAGAGGAAGGUCCCCCCACACUGGUACUGAGACACGGACCAGACUCCUACGGGAGGCAGCAGUGAGGAAUAUUGGUCAAUGGACGAGAGUCUGAACCAGCCAAGUCGCGUGCAGGAAGAAUGUCCUAUGGAUUGUAAACUGCUUUUGCAGGGGAAUAAAGUGCAUCACGUGUGAUGUUUUGUAUGUACUCUGCGAAUAAGGAUCGGCUAACUCCGUGCCAGCCGCCGC
rnacentral:rRNA from 1 species